UUGGGUGCUGUAUGUAGAAUUUUGAGGAAAAAAAAAUUAAUUCAUCCAUUUUGGAAUAAGGCUGUAACAUAAAAUGUGGACAAAGUGAAGAGCUGUGAAUACUUUCUGGAUGCACUGUAAAUUGUUGCCAUGGCCCUGUGGGAGGAGAAGAGCAGUCAGAGGAAUGUAAAAGUGCAGAUACACACAGUUGGCACUCGUUCCCACUGUAUGCUAGAGGGAGUCAGCAGAAUCAACCACAGUCAGGGACACACUGAUCUGUGUGUGUGUAUAUAUUAUAUCUAUUACCUUUAUCUUGCAGCUGCUACUUUUCUACCAGGAACUAAGGUGUUAACAUCUAGGAAUCCAGAAUUUUUGGAUCAGAAUUUUUUUUUUUUUUUUUUAAACCCAGACCUAAAUGCAUUGUGUUUCUCCAACAUUAAAUGUAAAUUAUUUUUAAGGUGAGUAGUAAGAGUCCAGGUUUGAGAUCGGUGCGUUCCGAACCACAAGUUCAUCCACACCAACAUGUUCUGUACAACCAGACUCAUUGUAAUAAACUCUAGUAAAUAUCCCAGCGUUUGUUCAAAUCAUCAGGUGCUUCCAUUAAUAUAAAACAUUUUUCCCAUAAACUCUCCAUAAAAUAAAGUUGCUCUUAGUACAUGUCAGGACAAAAAUAUUAACAAAAUCUGAGUUAAAAACAAAAGCGAACACGGAACAAGAGCUAGAACUAGACUUUCCCUCCAAAUAGUGCAGGUUACAUAAAACACAUUCUGGGCAGUACUGCUGAACUCUGAUUAAAAAAAAAAAUAAUAAUAAUAAUAAAACCUGAACAAUCUGCAAUUAUCCUGAAUUAAUUUUGUAUAACAGACCAAACUUAAAGGAUAUUUAUGUUUUCCUUUUGUGAUUUUUUUUAACCCCUUAAUGCCCGAAUUUAUAUA